AGCCCGCCCUAGUGCCCAGCGAGGCCUGCACCUCCGGGGCUUCACAGAAACCUCGCCCCCGUCCCCGAGCCGCUGUGGGGGCCGCCCCCGGCCUGGCGACGGAGCACAAGCCCGGCUGCUCCAAAACCGCCAGGCUAAGGGGGAUGGGAGAGAGCCAGGCCGCAGGGGGAUAAUGGACGAGCAAGUUGGGGCAAGGCUCUACUUUCUUCUGGUUCCUCCCAGUGAAAAUAACCAUUUAUCUCUUCCUCCUCAAAGCUUGGAGAUAGAGUAUCUCACUACCCUUCUCUUUGGCACCUCACAGCCACAGACUCUGGAAGAGUACAGUUUUGGAGAUAAGCCAAUUACCACUUCUGGCUCCUGAACGGAAUACAACAGUUGGACAUGGAGGACAGCCAUAGCAACUCUGCAGGACGCUGAAAGUCCCCGCUGGACUCCAUCAGGCUUGAUGGCAAUGAAAGUGCGCUCAGAAAUGGAUGCCAUCGUCCUAGAAGAGGAGAAAAAGGGAC